rnacentral:rRNA from 1 species
GAUGAACGCUGGCGGCGUGCCUAAUACAUGCAAGUCGAGCGAACAGACGAGGCGCUUGCUCCUCUGACGUUAGCGGCGGACGGGUGAGUAACACGUGGAUAACCUACCUAUCAGACUGGGAUAACUUCGGGAAACCGGAGCUAAUACCGGAUAAUAUAUUGAACCGCAUGGUUCAAUAGUGAAAGACGGUUUUGCUGUCACUUAUAGAUGGAUCCGCGCCGCAUUAGCUAGUUGGUAAGGUAACGGCUUACCAAGGCAACGAUGCGUAGCCGACCUGAGAGGGUGAUCGGCCACACUGGAACUGAGACACGGUCCAGACUCCUACGGGAGGCAGCAGUAGGGAAUCUUACGCAAUGGGCGAAAGCCUGACGGAGCAACGCCGCGUGAGUGAUGAAGGUCUUCGGAUCGUAAAACUCUGUUAUUAGGGAAGAACAAAUGUGUAAGUAACUAUGCACGGCUUGACGGUACCUAAUCAGAAAGCCACGGCUAACUACGUG